rnacentral:rRNA from 1 species
UACGUAGGGUGCGAGCGUUAAUCGGAAUUACUGGGCGUAAAGCGUGCGCAGGCGGUUUUGUAAGCCAGAUGUGAAAGCCCCGGGCUUAACCUGGGAAUGGCAUUUGGGACUGCAAGGCUUGAGUGCGGCAGAGGAGACUGGAAUCCUGGUGUAGCAGUGAAAUGCGUAGAUAUCAGGAGGAAUACCGAUGGCGAAGGCAGGUCUCUGGGCUGACACUGACG